UGCUCUUUAAAUGUUAAGCAACAGGUUUUU
rnacentral:piRNA from 1 species